rnacentral:rRNA from 1 species
AGAGUUUGAUCAUGGCUCAGAUUGAACGCUGGCGGCAUGCUUUACACAUGCAAGUCGAACGGCAGCGCGGGGGCAACCCUGGCGGCGAGUGGCGAACGGGUGAGUAAUGCAUCGGAACGUAUCCUGUAAUGGGGGAUAACGUAGCGAAAGUUACGCUAAUACCGCAUACGCUCGGGAGAGGAAAGUGGGGGAUCGCAAGACCUCACGUUAUAGGAGCGGCCGAUGUCCGAUUAGCUAGUUGGUGGGGUAAAGGCCUACCAAGGCGACGAUCGGUAGCUGGUCUGAGAGGAUGAUCAGCCACACUGGGACUGAGACACGGCCCAGACUCCUACGGGAGGCAGCAGUGGGGAAUUUUUGGACAAUGGGCGAAAGCCUGAUCCAGCCAUGCCGCGUGCGGGAAGAAGGCCUUCGGGUUGUAAACCGCUUUAGUCCGGGAAAAAGGGGUGCGAGGAUAACUACCCUCGUGCUUUGAUGGUACUGGAAGAAUAAGCACCGGCUAACUACGUG